rnacentral:rRNA from 1 species
UACGAGGGGGGCGAGCGUUGUUCGGAAUCACUGGGCUUAAAGGGCGCGUAGGCGGUCGGCCAAGUCUGGGGUGAAAUCUUUCGGCUCAACCGGAAAAUUGCCUGGGAUACUGGCUGGCUCGAGGGAGGUAGGGGCAGCGGGAACUACCAGUGGAGCGGUGAAAUGCGUUGAUAUUGGUAGGAACGCCGGUGGCGAAAGCGCGUUGCUGGACCUCUUCUGACGCUGAGGCGCGAAAGCUAGGGGAGCAAACGGG